rnacentral:rRNA from 1 species
GACGAACGCUGGCGGCGUGCCUAACACAUGCAAGUCAAGGAGAACGUUUCCUUCGGGAGACUAUUAAACUGGCGCACGGGUGAGUAACACGUGGAUUAUCUACCCUUAACACAGACAUAACCCAGGGAAACUUGGAUUAAUAUCUGAUGAGGCCUCCGGGUCAAAGCUACGGCGGUUAAGGAUGAGUCUGCGUAUGAUUAGCUAGUUGGUAAGGUAAUGGCUUACCAAGGCGACGAUCAUUAACUGGUCUGAGAGGACGAUCAGUCACACUGGAACUGAGACACGGUCCAG